UCUCCUGUACCUGUAGCAUCAACCUGUAGAGAACCAUUCGCCCAACGUGAGGCACAGGUGUGCAAUGGUACAGGGACUACAUCACCAGUCUUCCUGUCUGCCGUGUACCAGGUCCCCAGAGGGCAUUAGGCUCUUGUGUAAUCUAUUUAAAAUAGCUCUUCUUUACUCAGUGUGUGUGCGUGUGUGUGUGUGUGUGUGUGCAUGUAUGCGCACACAUUUAAAUACUGUUAGCAUGUACUCCAUGGAAAUAAUGAAUAAUUGAUUCUUGUAAUAGAUUCGAUUGUCUAGUACUCUGAUACACUGGAAAGUGUCUGAGUGGUACUAGGAACGGUAUUUGGAAACUUAAAAGCCCUUUUCUCUGGGUUUCUCCACACAGAAUCCGAGAAAGAGAAGCUAGUGUCAACCUGCACAAGCUGGGGUGCAGGUAACAAUGCCCUCCGACCCCUGACCGUGAUUACUAUCACUUUAUCACGAUGAGGACUGUCCUGCCGCAUCGCUAAGUCCCGCUUUGAAAAGAAAAGCACGGUGUGUCUUCCGCUCCCAGAACACGCCUCCCCCUCUGCCUCGUCUCUAGCAGAUAAGGGACGUUCUGAUGUUUUAUUUGUUAAAUGGUUGACUAUUAAGAAACUCAUUUGCUAGCUGGAGCCUGCAAUGGAAAAUCAGCCCAGAAAAGUGGGAGGCUGGCAAGCGACCAGAGCAGAUGGGAGAUGGAGGUGAGGGGAGGCCCAUGAGCCCCUUCCAGUCUGGACCUGGGGUCAGGGGCCAGCCCUCGGGGAACCUGCAGGCUGUUCCAAUGUGCUGACGCCUCUCCACACCCUGACCGCCGACCCCUACAACAGCACUGCAAACCAGGACGAAAGGGCCCAUGCACUAAGCGAUGGGAAGAGGAGGGUGUAACCCCCAGCCCCGGCAACUUCUCCGGCCCUCCACUCUGGCUGCCCGACGUCAUCAUCCACUCCUCCGGCCUCUCGGGUCCUGAGACCCUGACCCCGGGCAUGUUCCACGGCUCCAUUAGUUCUGAAGCCACAGCCAGCCCUUCCUGGCAGACGCUCCUGCUCCUCCAGGUCUGCCCCUCCUCCUCGCCUCCUGCCCCAGGAAGACCCCGGUAAUGCCAAGGAUGGGGGUGGCUGGGAGGGAGAAGACAGCAGGGAGACGGGGGUCCUGGUGCUCUCACACCUGAGAACCAAGUCCAGGAAAGGAGGCAAAACUGCUCCGAGAAUUAUAUAAUCACUGCGGCUUCAAGGGAGAGGACUGGGAUCCAGGUUGCCAUAGCGUUUGUGGCGUGUGGCUGGGAAGGCAGCGCGCCCGGCCACGCGCCCUGCUGCCCGCCCCUCCAUCUUCCUCACAGACCUCACAGGGCCUCUGCUCCUACUUUGAAUGUCUGCUCCCUGCAGACGGGAGGGGAGGAGGCGCUGGGGGGUGGGGGGGGCAAAAGGAAGGGGAAAAAGGGCCCAAAAGGAUUUGUCCUACAGAGAAAGGGGGCCCUAGGAACUGCUGAGGAUUAUCGCCACAUGAAUAACAAUCAUGACUACAGGUCACUGCCAUUGUGGGUGACAGCCAGGACGUGGCCACUGGGCGCUCCGCUUCAAGGCUGCCUGGGCUGAGCUGGGAGCCCCGAGGGCAGAAACCUACCCCCCUCCACUCUUCACAGACAUCACCCUUUCUUUUGUGUCACUCCUGCCUUCCUCUGAAUCCGUCCAGGACUCCAUCAGGAGGGGCACAGCGGAACAGGUGAGGGGUGGGACAUGGGGACAGAGCUGCCCUCCUGACCCGAAAGCCACGGCUCACCCUAGAACCCAUGGUCCUUGACACAAUCGUUUGCACUAAAAGAGGCCACAGUCUCCCCACGGCCACCCAAGCUGGAGAUCAGUUUUAGGUUGGACAGAGCCCAGGGAAGCUGCCCUGCGGCCUCUGGCUCCAAAAGGGUAGGGACUCUGCCUGCUAAGGGUGAGGCUGGGGGCCAAAGGAGGGAGGAGGCUGGAAAGGAGAGACACGGAGACAAAAACCACCAGGCUGUCCUCACAGGAGCACCUGAUGUGCCCAGGCAGUAGCAGGACCAACAGCGACAGGGGGAACAACAGGGAGGACAGGCCCACCAUUGUGAUCUCCAGCGACUCAACCCCAAGACAGAAAGCGGCAGGUUGGUGGCCGGCCUGGCCCUGGAGACUGGCCCUCCACGUCUGGGUCUCAUUCUGCAUCAGCAGGACACCAGCCCAGGCCAAGGCACACGGCCAGCUGGGACUUCGCCUGUGAAAAACCAGCUUCUCAUCAAGGCCCCCGGGGAAGUCAGUUUCCUGUGGAUGACCUGCUGACUCCAGAAGAAACCCCACAGACCCCUUCAUCCCCAGCUGCCCACUUCCGAGGGGCUUAAAGGCCACAUGGACACAGGUUCCCACGUGUGUUAGUGUAUUGUGUCACACUAAGUCACUUCAGUCAUGUCUGACUCUUUGUGACCCCAUGGACUGUAGCCCACCAGGCUCCUCUGUCCAUGGGA